rnacentral:rRNA from 1 species
AUUGAACGCUGGCGGCAUGCCUUACACAUGCAAGUCGAACGGUAACAGGUCUUCGGAUGCUGACGAGUGGCGAACGGGUGAGUAAUACAUCGGAACGUGCCUAGUAGUGGGGGAUAACUACUCGAAAGAGUGGCUAAUACCGCAUGAGAUCUACGGAUGAAAGCAGGGGAUCGCAAGCCCUUGUGCUACUAGAGCUGCCGGUGGCAGAUUAGGUAGUUGGUGGGAUAAAAGCUUACCAAGCCGACGAUCUGUAGCUGGUCUGAGAGGACGAUCAGCCACACUGGGACUGAGACACGGCCCAGACUCCUACGGGAGGCAGCAGUGGGGAAUUUUGGACAAUGGGCGCAAGCCUGAUCCAGCAAUGCCGCGUGCAGGAUGAAGGCCUUCGGGUUGUAAACUGCUUUUGUACGGAACGAAAAGCCCCGGGUUAAUACCCUGGGGUCAUGACGGUACCGUAAGAAUAAGCACCGGCUAACUACGUGCCAGCCGCCGCGGUAA